GUGAAUCAUCAAAUCUUUGAACGAAAAUUGCACUCUCCGGUUUUCCGGGAGAGUAUGAAUGUUUGAGGGUCAGACUAAAUAAAAUCGGCUUAGUAGUUUGCUGUGUUUUCCACGGUAACGUUGGUCGGAAUUUGGGUCAUCUUAAACGGAAAGGUUUUUAAGAGACUUAAAAUUUUCUUUACGAUCUCGUGAACGUUUCUAAGAUUUUCUUGUAAGUUCAAGGUAUCGAUAUUAGAUGUGACCGUCGUAUCGGAUCGCGUCCAUAAUAAUCUAUUUAACUGACCUC
rnacentral:misc_RNA from 1 species